rnacentral:rRNA from 1 species
UUAUAUAAUAAUACAAGCUGGACACAACUCACAAAUCUAAAGAUCUUGGCGGCGCCAUACAAAAUCAGGGGAACCUGUUCCUUAAUACGAUAAUCCACGCACGCUCAACCACCAUAAGAAAAAUCAGCCUGUGUACUGCCGUCGUAAGCAUACCUUUAAAAGAUACUGCAGCAAUAAAUAAUUAUUACCAAUGUCAGGUCAUAGUGCAGCUAAUAUGGUGGAGGAAAUGGGUUACACACUACAACUAGAUACCAAAGUAAAAUAAAAACUCUACACAAAGGUGGACUUGAUAGUAAUAACUAAUAAAAUAUAAUUAUGAAACUUACAUAUAGCGUGCACACAUCGCCCGUCACUCCUAUUUAAAAAUU